GAAAAACCCCUGCAAAAGAAAUUAGAUUUCACAUGGUUUAUGACAAUUCCAAGGACACUAGAAGCAUGCCAAAAUCAUCUAUCUUAAAUCUAACCAAUAUGCCACAAUUGGCACCUCAACAAAUUUUUUACGUUACAAAAUGAUCACAUUCAUUUAUCAAUAUGCAUGCUUACAUCGUUACAAAAGGGAUAACUAAACAAAAGGCCUUAAACCAUCUAGGUACAUGGCAAGACCAAAAAGAAACAAACCACCAACAUUGAGUCCUAGAUUGCCGCUGGAUGUUGAACUGACAAUCUAACAAAAGAGUACCUAAUCUGUACACAUAGCAGAAAUUGGAGUCAUUUACUAGAUAAGAAAUUAAAAAUAUUCUUAUGAUAUGAAACCAAGUUAUAUUGUAGAAUAAUCAGCAAAUCUAGGUUCCAUUUAAUAUCAUUCAUCAAACUCAUUUCUAUCCCUAUUUCCAUUCCAUCUCUUUAUUUUCCUCAUUAACGUAACUCAACUUUAGCCAUGUAUACGGUUCCAAUUAACACCAGUGCCUGAUGAAUAAAUUCGUAUUAAUGAAUUGCGCCUAGCGCUGGUUAGUAGGACUGACAAAUAUGUGUGCCCAGCACUGGUCGAUAUAACCGAAAAUAAAUGCACCCUGUGCUGGUCGGUAAAACUGACAAAUAUGUGUGCCUAGCACUGGUCGGUAUAACCGAAAAUAAAAUGUGCAGUGCGUUGGUUGGUAAAAUCGACAAAUAUGUGUGCCCAACACUGGUCGGUAUAACUGACAAUAAGUGCGCCCUGCUGGUCGGUAAAACCAAUAAAUAUGUGUGCCUAGCACUGGUCGAUAUAACCGACAAUAAAUGAGCCCUACGCUGGUCGGUAGAACCGAAAAAUAUGUGUGAAAUCAUUUCCAACUCAUGUUUUAAUUUUAUUUGACAAUUACACCAAAUUAUUUCAAGAACUAAUUCUUCUUAUAAACUCACCAACCAAGUGAUAUGUAUAUGGAUAUAAAUGUAUAUAUAAUUAAUAACAAUAAUUGAAAUAGUCGGGUCAUAGAAACACCAACCGUAAUCACUAAGCUAUUCGUCUUCAAUCUUGUCUUUUCCCUUCUUCCUCGAAGGUUCCGGGUUGACGUCAACUACGGAUUAAACAAAUAGAACACAUUAACAAUACACAACCUUUGUAUAUUACUCAAUCAAAUCCCUAAAAAUUGGAACCAAAAUAUCUUUCAAACUUAACCAAAAAAUUUAUCAAAUCGGUCUGUAACAUUUUAGCGAAUACAAUAAUGGUAAUAUCCUCAAUCUUUAACAGUACUGAAAAACAAUACAUGGGUCAAGUAGCUUAUAAAAUCAGGAUUCUAAAAAUGUAAAAAUUACAAGAAACGGACUAAUUAAAGCAUACCAAUUGAAGCUUGAAUUUUUGAAAACCCUAACAUUUUCUCCCCGUGCGUCGAUGGUCUGAGGGUGAAGAAACAGCUUGUUUCUAUU
rnacentral:lncRNA from 1 species